rnacentral:rRNA from 1 species
UACAGAGGUCUCAAGCGUUGUUCGGAUUCAUUGGGCGUAAAGGGUGCGUAGGUGGCGUGGUAAGUCAGGUGUGAAAUCUCGGGGCUCAACCCCGAAACUGCACUUGAUACUGCCAUGCUGGAGUACUGGAGAGGAGAUUGGAAUUUACGGUGUAGCAGUGAAAUGCGUAGAUAUCGUAAGGAAGACCAGUGGCGAAGGCGAAUCUCUGGACAGUUACUGACACUGAGGCACGAAGGCCAGGGGAGCAAACGGG